AAGUUCAGACGUUAGGAUUCAGGGUUGGAAUAUCACCAGUCUUAACUGGAGAGGGCAAGACUAGCACCUUUUGUAGGUGUACCCUUCUACUCGGAAGUCAGAGUUGGUGCCACCUAAGUGGGUUCCUGAUGCAGGGGAUUUGAGGACAUCCUCUUCCUUCAACUGUAAGUCACCAAGGGCUCUGGACAUUGUGAAAAUUUCCCUUUCAGUUAGGCCGAACGUUCCUGUCCAUAAAAACAGAAGCCUGGCCCGGGCCACUCUCUUGUGUGAAUCUGCAAAGCCAGCUCCUCUCCAUUGGUUUGGUUUUGUUUCUUGUAUCUCUGGGAAGGCAGGCAGACAGCACGGUCACCUGUGAAUGCAGCCACAAUUGGCUUAGCUGCCUCACUGAUAAAUGUGCCCCGAGUAAGCUACAGAGGGAUUAUCAGCGUUCCCAGCAGCUAAAGGUAUAAUCAAGUGUAAAGGAGGCAUGUGUCACACCGACUUUCAGAGAGAAGACCCUCCCCAUAAGACAGAUGUCUUUGAUUAUGCAGUGCAGCUUGCCCAUGUAAACCUCUUGCAUUGUUUGGAGAUCCUAUCCCAUGCCAAGGAUCUAGCCACCCACAAGCAGGCACAUUGCUGUCCAAACAGAUGGACAAGGGAGAUAGGCAAGCCAAAGCCCAUGGACGAACAUGAAAUGAAUUGGUGCAGAGAAGCCAAAGGUAUUGGAAAUGAAUGCUAGUCUUUGCUGUUCAGUUUCCAGUGUAAGGAUGGACCAGUGUGGAUGAGGCUUCGAUACUGAGCUGCAAACAAAGGAAAAAGUGAAUGAGUACAAUAAGCUGGAUGUUUCAACAGGUGCAUGAAAGCCCACACGAGCAUGAGUAGCUCCGAAAUGCUUAAGUCAGUGCACCUUUAUGUCAUCUUCAGCGGAGUCAGUUCUGAAAAGACACCCCUGGGCCAAUCACCCAUCAACAAUCAUUCAUUCUUUAUUCAAAAAAUAUUUGUCGAGCAUCUAACAUGUUGGAGACACUGGUCGGCACCAGGACCUUGUGGAACGAGCCAACUCCCUCCUGUGACAGCAAUGGUUCUUCAAGGUUUCUCCCCUGGGAACUGCGGAAGAUUUCCCCAGCAAAAGGUAGAAGCUUGAUGUCUUAUAGAUGAAGACUGGGGAGACUGGGAAGACCCAUCCAGGGUACUGACACUGGUCUUCGGGGGCCAGGAUCCCUGCUCAUGCCUCAAGCUACCUGUAAUGAAAAGUCCAGUGUCUGCCACCUGUCUCACAGAUCUGUCCUGAGGAUUAAUGAGAUCAUGUCUGUAGAUAAAGCCUGAGAAGUCUUCAGAAGGAAAUUACAGGAGGAUUCUUAUUUUGGGUGGCCACCUUGCAGAGGACCAUAGAAUUUUGGGUGAGCCCCUCAAUGCCUGGAUUUACUGUUGGAGAGACUGUGCAGUCUACAUUAGAUAAUUUACUGUGAAGCGUGGAAACAUUUGAAAAGGAAACCAUGCCUGACCCGGCUAAUGGGUGGAUAUUUUAAGACAUCUUAACUAAGGUCCUUCUGUUCCUGAGAGAUGCCACAUCCUCUUUCAUCAUAAUAUUCUUCAAAAAUAUGAAUUCAUUUAUUCAGUUUUUAUUGAGUGAUUUCUCUGCAUCAGGCACCCCAGAUUCUGGUUCUUAUGGAACUUACCUUCUAGUUGGGAGAAAAAGACACAAACAAGUAACAGGAUCAUCAAGCACUGAUAAUGACAAUGAAGGAACUGGUAGAUUGUGAUAAGAAGCUAAGGUUUGGAACUCAUUUGAAUCAGAGUCCAACCUGGCCCUCCGCUUGACCUUAGGUGAGGGAACGGAGGCUUAAAAAGAUUAAAUAAUUUGUCCAAGACCACAUGGCUCAUAACUGGUGGAGCUACAAUUUAGAACCAGAUACUUGUUUCCAGAGCCUUCUGCUUUUGGGCCCAUGAUGAGGACAUGAAAGAGCAAAAUCUUCUGGAAGACUAGAAAGUUGUAUCCUUUUGCAUGUGGAGUCUUUAAAAGAUGUACCUUCAGACGGUGGCUUCUUUACCAACAGUUCUUAUAUGGCAGGCGAAGGAUGUAACACUGAAAGGAUAGAUGAGCAAGUAAAAUCCCACCUCUUAUUGCUUGUGAGGAAAUCCAUUAAUGUAUUUACUCUCUAUCCUGAUGGUGGACAAAUGGGACAACCAUAGAGAGCAGAAACUGGAAGUCCAGUCUCUUGACCCCUUUACAAUAGGUCACUCUUAGGGUGACAAGGGGCAAAACCAAUACACCAGAAAAUCUAGCAGGGUCAGAAGGUGAAUAAUUUCUUCUUCCUUCAAGGUCCCACUGUGGUCCUCUGGGUUAAGAAUCUGACUGCAGCAGCUCAGGUUGCUGCGGGAGCUUGGGUUUGAUCCCCUGCUCAGCCCAGCGGUUUAAAGAAUCCAGCACUGCUGUGGCUCUGGCAUAGAUCUCAGCUGUGGCUCAGAUUUAAUCCCUGGCCCGGGAACUUCCCUAUACUGGGAGUGUGGCCAUAACAAUAAAAAUAAAUAAAUAAAUAAAUAAAGAUUCAUUUCUUACCCCUGCUGCCUGUUCUUUAGAAGCCUUUUGCUCCUGACGGCUUCAGGCAGUGACGUGAACUGAUGGAGCCUCUCACACCUGGAAUGUUCAUGGUUGCUGUGUAUGUAGGAGAAGAAAACUUAGGAAAUCGUUCACUGGCUCUUAAAAAUUCCUUGCCUGUAAGUGACACCUGUCACUUUUGCUCAGGAUUCAUUUUUUAAGGCAAAUCACAUAAACCCAGCUAGCUUCAAGUGCAUGGGGAAUUUGCUUAGAAGGAGAGGAAACUGAAACAUUGGUAAAUAGCAUUAAUGGCUCUAGAAUAAAAUCCCUCAAUCAUACUCAAAUACGCUUAACCAAAACCAGAUAAAAUUGUUCAGUUAAUAAAAUAGAUCUUGAUUAUUUCAAGCAGAUGAUCACAUAUUCCACCAUCAUGUUUCCCUUGGCCUUUGUUUGUCUGUUGGUUGGUCUUUCCCACACAGCCCUGAGCUUUUGAAGGCAGUGAGGGGUCUUAUUUAUCUUUGAUUAUUUAGUGUCUAGUGCAGUGUUAGCAGCAUAUGCCUUGGUCAGCUUGGGCUGUGAUAACAAAACAAACAAUAGAAAUCAAUUUUCUCACAGUUCUGGAAGCUAAAAGUAAGAUCAAGGUGCCAGCAUGGUUGGUUUCUGGUGAGAACUCUCUUCCUGGUUUGCAGAUGACUGUCUCCUCAUUCUGUCUUCCAAUGGCCCUUCCUUGAUCCACGCACAUGGGGGAGAAAGAACUCUCUGGUAUCUCUUCUUAAAGGAUACUAAUCCUAUUGGAUCAGGGCCCCAUCCUUAUGAUCUCAUUUAACCUUACUUACUUUCGAACUCCAAAUAAAGCUGCACAGGGCUUAGGGCUUCAGCAUAUGAAUUUUAGGGGGAUACAAACGUUCAGUCUCUAACAGCAUGGUAAGCCUCAUUGUUUCUUGAAUGAGUGGGUAGAUGAGUGAAUGAUUCCAGCUAACCAAUAGUCUUCCUUUAGUGCCCAGCCCCUGAGCACAUGCCACUUUGCCCAUCUUCCUCUCCCUUGCACUCUUUCUUCACUUGUGAGGUCCACUCAUCUUUCAAGACCCAACUAGAAUAUUGCUGCCCUAGGGAAACCCUUUCUGAUCUACACAACCUCUUGUACCUUCCCAAGCCUAACUAGUUGUUUUGUCUUCUUCUGGAACACUUGAUACCUCCCUCAGUUAGGAGAUAAUUAUAAUUUGGUUUUACAUAGUAAAUUGUCUCCCAUACUGGUCUCUGAGCCCCUACAGAGUAGGGACUAGUAAGUGGGAGGAGCCUGGUACUAGCCAUGGGACCUGACUCAUGUACAUAUUCAAAAUUUACUGGUCAAAUAAACAACUGCACUAAUGGGUGUUCUGAAUUAUAUGCCUUUUUGACAUGUUACUCUUCUACUGUAUGCGUGUCUGUGUAUGUGUGUGUAUACUCCUAGGUUUGAUAUGCAGUUUACCCAUGAGACUGGGGUUGUCAGUAACUGCAGGGGGAUUAGAACCCUCGCUAUGCUUGUCAUUAAAGCACAUUCACAUGCAUACAAUGAAGGCAACUGGUCUUGUUGUCUCAUCUUUGCUUGAUUCAUUCUCAGCUAAGAUGUCCAUCUCACACUUGCAGGUUUGAUGCUGUCUCUUCAGAAUCUGAGCAGUCCUCCAGGAUGGCAGGGAAAACACCUAUUCACUGCUGUGUCCCCAGAGCCCAGCACAAAGCAUGGCAUGUAGUGAGUGCUUACUAAAGGUUUGUUGAAUGACUGAAUCAAGCAACCAAGGCCCUAGAAAGACAGGUCAAAGAACAUCCUUUUAAGAGACUUAGGACUUUAAAGAGGAAGAGGAUCUCGGCAUCAUAGAUGCCUUGACUUGGAAGAUACUAUGUCAGAUGUGCUCAGCUGGAUUCCAAACUGUGUCACUGCAAAAGCUUCGAGAAGAUAAUGACCAUGUCUCCUAUCAUGAAGACCUGGCGAGUGGAGAGUCUCCAGUAUGUCAGCCUGCAGGAGCUUCACUGGCUAGAACAGGGACUACGACUGAAGGCAAGGCCUGAGCCCUUUCCUCUUUGUAUCCCUGGUGGAACAGGCUAACAAUUCUGUCUGUGGAAGGCAUGGACGGCUGUGGAGAUGGUGUACCCUUAGCUUUGCCCACAAGGUUCCAAGGACAGAGCAACUCCCUAUCAAAAUAGAAACUCAAUAAAUAAUUCGUGGCAAAGAAUGAAACUGUGGGGUUAUGUGCAAAUAUAAAGCAUGUGAGCGGGUAUGCCCGUUGUACGUGGAGCCAGGAAGGAGGCGGGGCAGCCAUCCGCUGGUUUCUCCUGCCUGCCUCUGCAAACUACUCUGGUUACCCGGCCUCCACCGCAGGCCCUUGGCAGGGGCGGUGCGCUGGGUCUGCGCGGUGCUGGCAGCCGCAGAGUGGAGGGUGAACCCGAUGGCCUCUUCAGUCUAUUUAGCAGGCUCUGAGAUGUGUAAGUACAUUAUCUGCAAGGCUGGUAAAGAGCGCUUGGGGAGGAUUUGUGGGUCUGUGGGAAGGACAAAGAAAAAUGUUUUCUAAUAAAUUAUUCACCGUCUC
rnacentral:lncRNA from 1 species